CAAUGGGGGCAACCCUGAACGAGCAAUGCCGCGUGAGCGAAAAAGGUCUUCGGAUGUAAAGCUCUGUUGCCGGGGAAAAAGGAAGGAAAGAGGAAAUGCUUUUCUUUGGAUGGUACCCGGCCAGAAAGUCACGGCUAACUACGUGCC
rnacentral:rRNA from 1 species